GGCUCUGCUGUACACCGCUGGGUCACAAACCAGGGUCUCACCACUAGAGAUGAACAUCUACCUUGAUACUGCAUUUUCUGAUGUGAGUGACUAUCUUACUCAGUCGGAAUUGGAUGCGAAAUAAUACAUGUGGUGGUUCAUCAGCAUCACUUCUCAAGGUAUGCUUGUUGGUGAUGUUGCUUGUUUAUCUUAUUUUUGGUUUUGUAUGACUUUCUUCCGGAGGAGGUUCAUAUUUAAAAUCAUUUCUGCUCAAUUAUAUCAGGUUGGUCUGUCAUGCUUAAAGCGGAUAUAGUGACUAGUUUGUUAUGUGCUUUGCAGGUUAGUCAUAUGGUUUGUAUAAUGGACCUAUAGCUCGUUCUUGUCUUUUUCAGGUUCAGAAAUCAGCGCAUUAUUAGUUGCUUCACUAUAUGCUUUGAUAUCCAGGUUACAACUAGGAUUUUCAUAUGUAUGUAUAUCACUUAUCACAUAGUAGAACAGUAUUCCUUUUUCUAGCAGAGGAGAAUAAUUUUCAGUGUUAAUUUGGUUGGGUACAGACCAUCAACCAAAAAAGCUCAAAACGUUUUGCCCAUAUAUAGAAUAACUCAAGUCUUGCUAGAACUAGAUAAGAAACAUACUAAUUAAUUGUUCGCAAAAACAGUUUCUUCUUUGUUGCAUAAGGACUGUGCAAGAAUUUGGAUUAAGACAUGUCUAAGCUACAGGAAAUAGUAUAAAAUGUUAUUUAGUCUAAAAUGAUUCACAUGCAAUUUUUUUCAUAUGUGCUACUAUCCUUUUGAGCAAAUUCAUUUAUAUGUACUACUAAUAAAUCAUUCCUGU
rnacentral:lncRNA from 1 species